AACGGCUCCACAUCCAAGGAAGGCAGCAGGCACGCAAAUUACCCACUCCCGGAACGGGGAGGUAGNGACAAAAAAUAACGAUACGGGACUCGAUAUGAGGCCUCGUAAUCGGAAUGAGUACACUCUAAAUCCUUUAACAAAAAUCUAUUGGAGGGCAAGUCUGGUGCCAGCAGCCGCGGUAAUUCCAGCUCCAAUAGCGUAUAUUAAAGUUGUUGCGGUUAAAAAGCUCGUAGUUGGUUCUGCGUCCCGCGCUGUCGGUACACCGUUUGUCGGUGACACUGGCAUGACGCGGGAUGUCCUGUCGGUGGCGGCGGAGACCAUAUCGCCGUCGGCUAACACCGCGGCGUGUUGGCCUUCUGUCGCCGGCUUUAUCCUACCGCGGUGCUCUUCACUGAGUGUCGAGGUAGGCCGACACGUUUACUUUGAACAAAUUAGAGUGCUUAAAGCAGGCAAAAAUCUCUGCCAGAAUAGUGGUGCAUGGAAUAAUGGAACAGGACCUUGGUUCUAUUCUGUUGGUCUCCGGAACACAAGGUAAUGAUCAAUGUGGACAGGCGGGGGCAUUCGUAUUGCGGCGUUAGAGGUGAAAUUCUUGGAUCGUCGCAAGACGCACUAGAGCGAAAGCAAUUGCCAAGUAUGUCUUAAUUGAUCAAGAACGAAAGUUAGAGGUUCGAAGGCGAUCAGAUACCGCCCUAGUUCUAACCAUAAACGAUGCCAGCCAGCGAUCCGCCGAUGUUCCUUUGAUGACUCGGCGGGGAGCUUUCCCCGGGAAACCAAAGCUUUUGGGUUCCGGGGGAAGUAUGGUUGCAAAGCUGANNCUUAAAGGAAUUGACGGAAGGGCACCACCAGAAGUGGAGCCUGCGGCUUAAUUUGACUCAACACGGGAAACCUCACCAGGUCAGGACAUUGGAAUGAUUGACAGAUUGAUAGCUCUUUCUUGAUUCAGUGGGUAGUGGUGCAUGGCCGUUCUUAGUUGGUGGAUCGAUUUGUCUGGUUAAUUCCGAUAACGAACGAGACUCUAGCCUAUUAACUAGACGCGUUUGGUAUCGAAUCUACCGGCGAACUAUAUUCUUCUUAAGGGGACAGGCGGCUUUUAGCCGCACGAGAUUGAGCAAUAACAGGUCUGUGAUGCCCUUAGAUGUCCUGGGCCGCACGCGCGCUACACUGAAGGAAUCAGCGUGUGCGUUCCCUUGGCCGAAAGGUCCGGGUAACCCGCUGAACCUCCUUCGUGCUAGGAAUUGGGGCUUGCAAUUGUUCCCCAUGAACGAGGAAUUCCCAGUAAGCGCGAGUCAUAAGCUCGCGUUGAUUACGUCCCUGCCCUUUGUACACACCGCCCGUCGCUACUACCGAUUGAAUGAUUUAGUGAGGUCUUCGGACUGGCGGUAAGCCCAACCGACUCGUCGGUUUUGUCGAACGCUGGAAAGAUGACCAAACUUGAUCAUUUAGAGGAAGUAAAAGUCGUAACAAGGUUUCC
rnacentral:rRNA from 1 species